CGAGGUUAGCGAGCAUACAUUCUUGCUUGGUGUUCGCAUUUGGGCGGCUGCAAAACAAUAUGCCACUUCUUCCCUGGUCUCUGGAGAUCUUCGUCUCCAGAUGCCUAAUCGUGCUGGCGGCGACAGCAGCAGCAGCAGCAGCAGCAAGCGAUCGGUCCGGGAGCUGCAGCACCGCCUCUACUUGUCCCUCCAGGGAUUCAUGCUUCUCGGCUCCAGGCUGGCUGUCACGGUAAAUCGAUGGCUAUCGCGUUUCCAUCAUGAAGAUUCCAGGUGUUGGCAAAUGUAGCAUGUUACCGGAUCCCAAACUCGGGCCGCUGCGCCUUUCAGGUGACUUGAUUUGGAGAAGUUUGGGGGAACUUGCUCUGAUGGUUUGAUCAUGUUUGAGUCUCCUCUGGCACGAACGUCACCUCCGAUUCUACAGCCUACAUGAAGUUUCGCCCCAGCUCAAUUCCCUCAACGAUGUCCACGGGGCGGUGUUAGCGAUACACAUCUCAAGCGAGUAGCGAGCUUACUAACGAGCACGGCUUGACCUGGAUACAGGAGUCGAGCGGUCCGAGCGAGUCGCGCAGGACAGUUUGUGGUCUGUGCAGUAACUUCUUCACGACUUGCGCACGCACGCUGGCGCGGCUCCGUGUGGAGGAGGAUUUGCAGGACCAGCUGCUGGCAGAGCGUCAGGCGGGAUAGCAUGAAAACGCUACGGGGAACGAUGGCCGCAUUCUCGCUGGCAUUCUCAGAGUCUGAGCGACUUUGUUCAUC